AGGGUUUGAUCAUGGCUCAGGAUAAACGCUGGCGGCGUGCUUCAGGCAUGCAAGUCGAACGAGUGUCCACCUUCGGGUGGUCUACUAGUGGCGGACGGGUGAGUAACGCGUUAGCAACCUGCCCAGAAGUGGGGAAUAACUAACCGAAAGGUUAGCUAAUACCGCAUGUGAUAGCUGGUUCUUGGACCGGUUAUGAAAGGCUUCGGUCGCUUCUGGAGGGGCUUGCGUCAGAUUAGCUAGUUGGUGGGGUAAUGGCCUACCAAGGCGACGAUCUGUAGCUGGUCUGAGAGGAUGGUCAGCCACACGGGGACUGAGAUACGGCCCCGACUCCUACGGGAGGCAGCAGCUAGGAAUCUUGGGAAUGGGCGAAAGCCUGACCCAGCAACGCCGCGUGGGCGAUGAAGGCCUUCGGGUCGUAAAGCCCUUUUUCAGGGGACGAUGAUGACGGUACCCUGAGAAUAAGCCACGGCUAACUACGUGCCAGCAGCCGCGGUAAUACGUAGGUGGCAAGCGUUGUCCGGAUUUACUGGGCGUAAAGGGCGUGCAGGCGGCUUGUUAAGUGCAGGGUGAAAGCUCCCGGCUCAACUGGGAGAGGUCCUUGCAUACUGGCGAACUCGAGGGAGGCAGAGGAAAGUGGAAUUCCCGGUGUAGUGGUGAUAUGCGUAGAUAUCGGGAGGAACACCUGUGGCGAAGGCGGCUUUCUGGGCCUUACCUGACGCUGAGACGCGAAAGCGUGGGGAGCGAACCGGAUUAGAUACCCGGGUAGUCCACGCCGUAAACUAUGGACACUAGGUGGUGGGGGGGGUAUCGACCCCCUCCGU
rnacentral:rRNA from 1 species